AAAUCUAAUUUAGUCAUGAGGCAGAUUCCUAUAAUUUUAUACUCCAAUCAGUGUAUCUACAUUUUAUCAAGGUCUUUAAAGAUUUAUUCAUAAUUGCUAUCAGUCUAUGGGCUAAUAUUUUAUACAUCAAUGGAAACUGGUCAAAACCAAAAUUAUAAAAUUAAAUGUCACCUGCAUAAAAUAUAGAGACAAGGUAUAAAAUAGAAAUUAAAUAUGUAUGUUCAUUAUUGGAAGAACUCUGCUAACUAGCUUUGACAGUAGAACGUGGUGGUUAAUGCACUCAGAAAUCAGUCCAGACAAGAUCAGUCCCCGUUCUACCCCAAACACGAUGUGAAUUUAUACAAAUCAUGUCAUCUCUCUGUGCCUGAGUCCUCUUUGUCUUUAUAAUGGUGGUGUCUGGCUCAUAGAUUAUGAAGAAUGUGGAGGUGAAUACAUGUCUGUUCUUCACAGCAAAGAGCAAUUCAUUGCAAAUACACUUAAAAUGGGACACAUCCAUAUAUGGCAAACUCUUCAUAAUAGAAAGUAACUUUAUUAAGUAUUUCUAUUGCAUUUCAGCUGACUUUAUUUUUUAUUUUUAUUUUUUAUGUUUUGAGACAGGGUCUCACUUUGUCAUCCAGGCUGGUGUGCAGUGGUGGGAUCUGGGCUCACUGCAGCCUCAAUCUCCUGGGCUCAAGGGAUCCUCCCACCUCAGCCCCCACCAAGUACCAGCUACCUUUUAUAUGUCGCUCAUGCAUCACGUUCCCUGCAGGAUCCUGUGUCUCUGAAGAUAAGUAGCAGCCUGUGGGAACUGACAGAAUGGCUGCGGGGAUGUGGCCAUGGGAAUGAUCUUCUUAUCGCGGACUGUACUUGGAAUCCUGGGGAUUUCUCUCUUAUUUACCAUUAUCUGUCCUUUUACAUCACUGGGUGCGGGUUAAGGUCCACAGAUUUGAUGAUCAGACACCUAAUUGUAGCCAACACCUUAUUCCUCCUCCCUAGAGGAGUCCCACAGACAAUGGCAGCUUUUGGAUUCGGGCAUUUACGGAAUGAUUCUGGAUGUAAAUUUCUUUUUUGUGUCCACAGAGUUGUCAGGGGAGUGUCCAUUGGCAGCACCUGCCUCCUGAGUGUCUUCCAGGCCAUCACCAUCAGCCCCAGGAGCUCGGGUGGGCCGAGCUUAAAGGGAAAGCCCCCAAGCAUGCUGGCUCCUGUGUGUUCCUCAGCUGGCUCCUGCACAUGCUGGUCAGUGUCAUUGUUCUCAUGCACGUGACUGGCAAGUAGACUAACAAAAAUACCACAAAGACAAAAGAUCUGGGAUACUGUUCUGCUGCUCAUCACAAGGACACCAGAGAGUCGCUGACGCGGCACUGCUGUCCUUCGCUGAUGUGAUCUGUCUGGGGCUCACGUUCUAGGGCAGCAGCUCCAUCGUUUGCAUCCUGCACAGGCACAAGCGGCGGGUCCAGCACAUUCAUAGGAACAGCGUCUCCCCCACAUCCUCCCCUGAGUCCAGAGCUACCAAAACCAUCCUCCUGGUUUGGUGAUGCUGAGACAGAUGUGACUUUGUGUAAGAGGAAGGUAGAAAGGUUCUUCACCGGUGUGGUUAGCGGACAGAAAACGGCUCUCUGGAACAAGCAGCAAAUUCUCUCACCCAAACUGGAGUGAAAUGAGAGAGGAGGAAAGGACGAAGAGUCCCCAAAGCUGAUGCUGAGAGCUGACAGCGGCCAACAGGCUGUCAUAAACUGUGAGAGGAGUUGCUCUCAAUCUUCCUGCAUGAGGUGUGAUCCCCGCUCCACCAGCAGAGGUAACUGACAGAACCCAAAGAAAUGUAGCCUUCUGUUUUCCCGGGAAGGUUUGUUGAAAUUAUGUGAGCAGACCUACAUUGCUCAAUGAUUCCAAUGGUCGACAAAAGUCAUAGCUGGCGAUUUUGUCAUCUGCACCCUCUGGAAAAGGGAGGCAGCCUCCACCUAGAGGUGCCCGUGGGGUCCUAGUUGCUCUGACAUAAUAAUAGUCACACUGAUUUUGAACAUUAUCUGUUACUUUGCUACUGAGCUCUUGUCAUCACCAAAUCCUGACCCACAGACAACUUGGGGCUCCCCAACUUGAUAUUCCAAUUCUGAGACGGGUUAGUCCAAACUCUACAAAAGCCCCCGAAAGCCUUGCUUAUUACACAGAAAUGGUGUAUUCCGGAAGGAAAAUGGACUGGCCCAGGAACAUCUCAGCUCUAAAGGAAAAAUCAAGAUCUAUCAUCGGUGAAAAUUGUAUGCCCUUCUCCACGGUCUGAAGCAAAGCUGUGGCAUCAUGGGGUCCCAAAUUUAGCACGUAGCCCCUAAAUGCCUGGCUCAGGUUCACUGAUGGGUCAGGGAAGUAGAUUCCUCAUGGUGUCCACAGCAGAGGCUGUUCGGGCUCAGUGCCAGCCCAGCCACAUGGAACCUGCAGCAGGGGCGUUUGCUCUGCUCAAUGGUCAGACUUGGGGCCAGGCGUGGGGCUCCAGCCUGUAAUUCCAGCCAUUUGGGAGGCUGAGGUAGGCGGAUCUGUUCAGGCCAGGAGUUCGAGACCAGCCUGGCCAACAUAGGGAAACGCCAUCUGUACUAAAAAUACAAAAAAUUAGCUGGACGUAGUGGCAGGCACCUGUGAUCCCAGCUACUUCGGAGGCUGAGGUGGGAGAAUUGCUUGAACAUGGAGGCUACCAAAAAAAAAUCAUCAAAACUCAGGGUUUUGGCCACUGCCCACAUUGUAGCUGUUUGUUCAUCCCCAUUCAAACUAGAGACUGUCUGAUGAAGCACACCCUCUUUGAGGCUGCAAACUGGAAACAAUCUCAGCUGCUGAUCUAACAGUUGCAUCCCUGAUUUAGGAGUCCAUAGUAAAGGUCUGUUUUCUGAAGCACCUGACCAAAAUCAAGCUCUGGACAGAGCCUGAAUCUGUCUCAUGCAGAGCUUGUCACUGCAGGCCGGGCUUGUGGUUCUUGGUGAAAGUUGAUCUGUUUAUCUGGCGGUUGGCGAGGCCCCUGACCAUUCCUGGAAGAAUGAGUGCAUUGGACUUUUGACCCACUUCGGAAAGUUUCAAUCAUGUCACACCACUCUCGCCACCUUCAGCGUCAUGCCAGCAGACUCCAGCCACACCAUGUGUCCCUUGAAACUCAUUCAUGUCACCUUUUAGACUUUUGGGGCCAUUUUCACUCUGACAUACUGAGUCUUUAAUCACUAAAUCUACUAAAAAUGGGCCAACUGUCUGAUUUUACUUCCUUGUUUCCCCUCUUGAUCCAUCAGUGUUGUUUAGGGAAUUUGUUGAUUGAAUGUGGCUAUCUCCAAAAGGAAUGAUCUCUUCUUGACAGCCUCCAGGAUCAGGAUGAAAUCACUGGGGGCUAUGAAUCUAUUUCCAAAAUAUGAGAUUUCUCUCUCUGACCAUUCUGGGCACAAUAUGUCAUUCUUUCUCUGAACAGCAGCCCCAGGCCAGUCUACUUUGCCCACGAUGAGUGGCAGCCCAGCUAAAAGCGAGUUUAUGGGACUCGAAGUUAGUUACAAUUAAGUUUCAUACAAAAAUCUUUAUCCCUGUUUCGCCUUGCUCUUAGGGACAAAAUGUCUUGGAGACAGUAGGGGAUGAUGAGAAUAAAGGUGAAAUUAUAGGUACCGGAAUGGGAUUGACUGAUUCUGUGGAGGGAGAGGGAGAGUGACAACCUGAAACCUGGAGAGCAAUCAGCUUAGAUCCUAGGAGCUCUGAGGAAUGGAGGGACAUUCAUCACCUUUUGUCCCUCAUAAUCACCUCCGUGAGUCCCAGAGAAGAGUAUCCCUGGAAAUCAUGUUGGGCCAGAACUGUGUUAGUUACAGUUAAGCCAGAUGGCAGGGCAGGUGCUGGGGGUUCCUGUGUGUUUGGUCUCCAAGCCACCUGGAAAAAUCCUUUGGGACUGUUCCCUCCCUCUGGGAUGCAGGCUUGGGAUUCUAGUGAGGAGUGUGCCCUUUCGGUGCCCACCUGCCAUUCUUCCUCUGUGAGCCGUGUCUCCUCCUCCUGUUUUUCUUCCACGUAGAGAUGAAUGUAUGUUUAUUCCUAUUUGGAUAAAACAGAGAAACAAAUCAAGUAAUGGAACCCCAGACCGAGCCUCCAACAUAGCCUGAUUCUUUUCUGUUCCUCUUCCCACUGUACUAAUUUCAUUAUGUCGGUGCAGAGAUACCCUGAGAUGGGGUCUCUCAGAACAGAUUGCAACACCAUAUGUGUAGAGAAGGUGGUUGGAGAUGGCAGGAGUCCAAUCCUGCCAAUCCUGAGAAUCAAAGCUUGUGUCUGAUACUACAAGUGUAUACACAGGAAGUAGAUGGAUCCAGGAAAGAUCCUAGAGCCCUGGAAGAGAUUAUUUAGAGCAGGCAGGAUCCCUGCAGGAGAGCAGAGUAGCAGGACACAGGUUCAGCAGCCACUUCUGAGGUCAGAUGCUCACAGCUAAGCCUCUGUGGUAGGUCUGAUCUGCAGAGCAAUGCAGAGCCUGGGAAAGCUCUGAUCACAUGUGGAAGAUGAAACUCUGGGCUUCUAUUAGUCUGUUUUCCCCCAGCUACGAAGAACUACCUGAGUGGGUAAUUUAUACAGAAAAGAGAUUUAACUGACUCACAGUUCCACGUGGAUGGGGAGGCCUCAGGAAACUUACAGUCAUGGCAGAGGGGGAAGCAAGGUAUAUCUUACCAUUGUGAAAAGCAGAGACAGAGAGAGUGAAGAAAAGCACAAACUUUUAAGCCAUCAGAUCUCGUGAGAACGAACUCACUAUCAGCAGAACAGCAAGGGGGAAAUCCGCCCCCAUGAUUCAAUCACCUGCCACCGGGCCCCUCCCCUGACACAUGGGGAUUACAAUUAGACAUGAGAUUUGGGUGGGGACACAGAGCAAACCAUGUUAGAGCUCAUGGACAAGUGUCCUAUGUGAUGGAACAUCCUGCUUCUGUGGGCGUGACAGUCUUUGCUCUUUCUUGGCAGAGAAACACUUACAAUAGUCAUUUGAGGACCAUGUAUAGAUAAGAUUGCUUUCUUCUGAGUUUCUUGAAAAAGGAUUCAGAGAAAACAUUUUACCCACUUUCAAUUCGAGUGAUGGUGGGGAGUGACUUCAGUAAAAAUGGCAGAUUAGGGAACUCGGGGUAGGAGUGGGAGCUGUCCAUCUCCAGAAAUUUCAGAAGGCCCAGCACAACUUGCCAGAAUUAACCUGAUCGAAACUUGUACUUUUUUUUUUUGCCAUGUAGCUUUAUUUUAAAUCAGACCUUUAUCUUACAAUGUGUUGUAAAGAAUCGAUUUUGUCACUUUGUAAUGUGUCUUAUGCACUGCAGUCUAUUUCUGAGUUGUGAGCUCCACCCAUCUAUCAGUCUGCCCAUCAACCAACAUGUCUUACAAGACUAGCUACCCUCAUUUCGUUCUUUUUCAGAGUUUUCUUGAUUAUUCUUAUUUGUGUUUUCACCUAUGAGAUUCUUGCAAUAACAUCCAUAACUCCCAACUGAAUGUAUCUAUAUUUGGACCAAAUUAAAUUUAUAAAUUAGCUUAUGAACAAUUGAUUUUUAUAAUAUUGAUUUUUUUACCCAAGUCCAUGCUGUAACUUAUGUGUACAUUCAUAUAUUUCAGAAAUUUUCUACUUAAUUCUUAUAUACAUUUCACAUAUUUGUUAAAAUUAUUCCUAAGUAUAUUUUAUGUUAUUGUUAUUUUGUAAUUGUAUCCCCACCUCAAAUCUAACUUGUAAAUUAUUAUUUCAUAUAUACGUAAAUACCUGCUGUGUGUAAUUUAAGGCCAUGUCAUGGUUCAAACUGAUUUGUAAAAUCAACCACUCAAUUUUCCCCAUUCACUGGAAUGACUACUAUUCCAUAUCCACAACAAGAGCUGUUGAGUUGAGGGAAAUCAGGGUGGAGAUGAAGCAGAAGUGAAGAGAAAACCUUAUCUAACCCAUGCAUGCAGCAAAACAACCUCCCUAUGGAUCAAUAUGUAAUUAUCUAAAGUAUAAAAUACUUAGAAAAUAUUAAUAUUUAUCUCAUACUGUACAAUAUGGAAAUUAUAAGGAAAAGACAAAAGAAUACCGAAUUACUUAUAUAUUCCCUACAUAAAAAUAUAUACAUUUAUAUGGUAAAAGAUUGCAUUAUCG